GAUGAACGCUGGCUACAGGCUUAACACAUGCAAGUCGAGGGGAAACGCCGGGGUAGCUUGCUUUCCCGGGCGUCGACCGGCGCACGGGUGAGUAACGCGUAUCCAACCUGCCUCUGACUUAGGGAUAACCCGCCGAAAGUCGUCCUAAUACCUCAUUGCUUCUUCUGCGUGCAUCCUACGACAAUUAGAGAUUUCAUCGUGCACGGGUGGGGUGUCGGCUGAUUGGCUUGUUGGCGGCUUAACGGCCCACCAACGCUUCGCUCAGCAGGGGUUCUGAGAGGAAGGUCCCCGACAUUGGAACUGGGAAACGGUCCAAACUCCUACGGGAGGCAGCAGUAAGGGAUACUGGAGAGUGGGCGGGAGCCUGAACCAGCCAAGUAGCGUGCAGGAUGACGGCGCUAGGGGUGGUAGACUGCGUUUAUGCGGGGACAAAGUGAGGGACGUGUCCUUCAUUGAAGGUACCGGAUGAAUAAGGACCGGCUAAUUACGUG
rnacentral:rRNA from 1 species